CCUACGGGAGGCAGCAGUGAGGAAUAUUGGUCAAUGGACGGAAGUCUGAACCAGCCAUGCCGCGUGCGGGAGGAAGGUUCUGUGUAUUGUAAACCUCUUUUGUCCGAGGACAAACGCUGAUACGCGUAUCUGUCUGAAAGUAUCUGACGAAAAAGCAUCGGCUAACUCCGUGCCAGCAGCCGCGGUAAUACGGAGGAUUCAAGCGUUAUCCGGAUUUAUUGGGUUUAACGGGUGCGUAGGCGGUCGGAUAAGUUAGAGGUGAAAUCCCGAGGCUCAACUUCGGAAUUGCCUCUGAUACUGGUCGGCUAGAGAGUAGGUGCGGUAGGCGGAAUGUAUGGUGUAGCGGUGAAAUGCUUAGAGAUCAUACAGAACACCGAUUGCGAAGGCAGCUUACCAAG
rnacentral:rRNA from 1 species